GAUGAAGAACGUAGCGAAAUGCGAUAUGUAAUGUGAAUUGCAGAAUUCAGUGAAUCAUCGAAUCUUUGAACGCACAUUGCGCCCGCCAGUAUUCUGGCGGGCAUGCCUGUUCGAGCGUCAUUACAACCCUCAGGCCCCCGGGCCUGGCGUUGGGGAUCGGCGGAAGCCCCCUGCGGGCACAACGCCGUCCCCCAAAUACAGUGGCGGUCCCGCCGCAGCUUCCAUUGCGUAGUAGCUAACACCUCGCAACUGGAGAGCGGCGCGGCCACGCCGUAAAACACCCAACUUCUGAAUGUUGACCUCGAAUCAGGUAGGAAUACCCGCUGAACUUAAGCAUAUCAAUAAGCGGAGGA
rnacentral:misc_RNA from 1 species